GGAUAGAUGAUGACAAGACAUCUUUGAGGACGGUCAUCGACCUGUAACUAUGCCAAUCUGAUCUCC
rfam:Mesocricetus auratus contig197534, whole genome shotgun sequence.